rnacentral:lncRNA from 10 species
CCGCCCGCGCCCGCCUAGCGCAGCCCGCACCCGCGCGAUCCCGGGCCCCUCGGCCGCCUCGCCCGCGGCCCCCGCCCCUUCCCCGGCAGUCGGCUCCCUCUCCCCCCUCCUAGCCCCUCCCCGAAGCCGCGGUCCCUCCGAAAUGGCCCGGCCCGAGGCCCCGACCCGGCGCGGGGCUGCGGACGGGCUGGGCGGUGCGUCCGGCGACUCGCACAGGAAAGCGGACGGCGAAGGGAGGGAGCCUGGGAGAGGGGGAUGGGAGAAGGGAGGAAGAGGGAGAAGGAGGGAGCGCGGAGGAACGGAGGAGAGAGGGGCCAGGAGGGAGACGCGAGGGAGGGAGCGCGAGGCAAGCCGCGAGGGGGGAGAGAGGGGGAGCCGGAGAGGGGGAGGCGCAGCGCGAGUUGGCCGAGGCCGAGGCCGAGGGGGCCGGGGCGCGGGGAGGGCUAGCCGUGGCGGAAUGUGGGGAGCCCGCGGGCCCGGCGCGGGAGAGGGCUAGGUAGGAGGGGCUGUGGGUGGUGAGGGCAGAUGAGGGGAGGCUGAAGUUUGGGGGCGAGCGGGUCUGUGGCAGAGGUGAAGUGGGAGGAGUUUGGGGGAUCCUGGGGUAGAGAUUGGGAUAAUGGGAUUGGAUUGGAAAGAUGGAGCUGCCUGGGGGCUUUGUGGGUGCCUGGUGAGAAGUGAGAGAAGCUUGGGGUGAGGGAUCUGUGGCAGAGAUGGAGCCAGACGGGUUUGGGGGCUAUUAUCAGAGAGAAUGGGAUGGAAGUUUGGGGUCAUAAGGAGAGAGAAAAAUUGAAAAGAUGACAUAUAUAGAAAGAUGGGGCUUCUGGAAAAAGUAAAGCUUUUGGGGGUGAUUAGUGUUGACAAAAGAGUCAUAAAUAUAAGAAUUGGGGGUGGGGGGAUGAAGGAAUGCUGGAGAGAGAGAAGUCCAGAGGAAACGUCAGUGAGGAGAGAGAGGAGGGAACGCGUGAGGAACCUUAAGAAGGGAUGAACGAGGUAGCCUCUGGCAGUCAGUCUGCUCCCGGCCGUGAAGCCAGCACCUCCGCCAGCCCACCACCAGUUCCUUCUCCUGGGCUCCCUCCUGGCCCUCCACCAAGCGGCAACAUCUCCCAGGACAAAGGACACAGGGUGAUUUUUGGCAGCAGAAAUUGGGAAGGCCAGAGAAUGGGAGGGAGGCAGGCUGGCAAGCCGGAAGAGCUGGAGCUGGAGUGUGGAUUAGGAGCCCUCAGUAGAGCUCCAGAUUUGGGGUGGGGGUCGGGUACUUGUGGGGCCAGUCUUGCUGGAGGCUAAGGGUGGGCCCUGAAUUGGCAAGAUCCCACCUGCCUUCAGGGAAGGAAGGAGGUUAGCUCUGGAGCAGCUCAGUAGAUUUUUGUCUCACAAUUCCUUGGGCCAGAUUCAACAAAGUUCUGGGAAUACUCAAAAGCUCUAAACAAGAUUCCAGAGCACUGGGGAACUGGGCGCAGGAACAGGAACACUUCCUUGGCCUGGGAAUGAGUCAUCACUCUGAAGUCCCUUGAAUUGGUUGGCACUCACUUUACCACUCCAAGCACACCUUCCUCCCAGGGCCUCCCUGAGACCAGGCCAGCUCCCUGUCUCCCUGUGCACCCCGACUCCCUUCCUCUUGCUCUAGGGUAGCUGCUGCUCCUCCCCACCCCUGACUUUGUUCCAGGGCUCCCCCUUUCCCUCUCACCCUCUCUCCCCAUGGCAUUUCCUCUCUUUCUGUACCACUCAGUUCAGUCUCCCACUGGGCCUUGGCUCAAGCCCUUUCCAAAUCCCUUCCAGGCUGAGCUCUUCUCCCUUGUUUUUUAAUCACUAAGGAAUGGGCUACAAUGGAUACUAAAAGAAAAAUUUAGGCAUAUGUGGGGAUAGGGGAUGGUGAGAGUCACAAAAGAAACCAUUGUCUACCCUCUCCCAUUCCUCCCCUACCUGAGGGCCAGGCUUAUAGUCCAGCUGCAGGGGACAUCUCUCUCUCUCUCUCUCACACACACACACACACACACACACGCACACGCACACACACAGCCCCAGCCAUCCCUCACCCCAGCUCCCUCUCUGGCUCAGCCCCCCACAACCCAUUGGUCUCCAGGCAACGGCACAAAGGGAAAGUGGAGAGAAGGGCCUGGGAGGCCCAGGCAGAGCUAGCUGUAACCCAAUCCAACCCCGAUACUUUGGGGGUUGGGGGGCCAGACUGUCAGAGAAGGCGACCUGGUGAGGAGGGAUGAAAGAAAGGACAGAGGCUAGGAACUAGGCUCAAACUAGGAUAGUCCUGGUCAGUCUGGGAGUUACUAAGGUAAGAUGGGUAUCAGGGACCCCAGAGAAAACUGAGAGGCACAGAGGAAAGUACAGGAAACCCCAAGGGAGGCAUAAAGGGUCGCCAGGAGAAAAGGGAAAGAUGAGAUGCCCACACUGAAACUAAAAGGCACAGAAAUGGAAAGGGGGCAUGAGGCUCUUUGAACUGAAAAUGGCUGAGGUGUCAGGGACCCGGGAAGGAGGGCAAGAAAAGAAAUGGGCCCUACCCAUACAGAACUAGAACCUAUUUUAGCCUUGGAGCUGGGCAGGAUGGCAGAGGGAGCCAGG